GGAUAAGCAAUCCUACGCUAUGUUAUGAUUUUUUCUUCAAGAUCAAACUCUGUGUUUCUUUUAAGGCUGAUUAUUCUGAAUCAUCGAUACUGGUGACAGCUAUGCUGCUUGAAAAACCACCAGCAAUCACUGGAUUCUACUAUUUGAAUGAUGAUGAAUUCAGUACACCUAGUAGCGAU